GAAAUCCCAAUUCUACCCCGCCAGGGUCAAGUGCAGCGUGUGGAGGAAUCCCGAGGAAUUUGAUGAGAAAUCGGGGACACGCUUGGGAAUUCAGACCAGUGGAAAGAUGGCCAGUCCUGUCCCGUCAGCCUGCUGCGUGGUGCUCGCCGCGGUGGUGAUGGUGUACGCUCAGAGGCACAGCCAGAUGGACACCCAUGUCCAGUACGAGCGGCUGGGCGCGGACGUGACCAUGCAGUGCGGGGCGAUGGACUGGGACGCGGCCGUGACCUGGACGGCCAACGGCACCGACAUCGAUGAGUCCCACCUCAACGGGUCGCACCUGGUGCUGCGGAAUGUCGACCUCACACACAGCGGCCAGUACGCCUGCUACGAAGGUUCCUCGUGGCACCUCAAAUACCAGACCUACCUGAAAGUGGGAACCUCGCCCAAGGAGCCAGUGCUGAUGUGCCGAUCCAACAACUACCCCAAGGGAUUCUACUGCAGUUGGCACCUACCCAGUCCCACGUACAUCCCCAACGCCUUCAAUAUCACCGUCAUGCAUGGCCCAAGAGAGUUGGUCUGUGAGAAAGACGCUUUCCCCAAAAACAGGUGUCACAUCAGAUAUCUCCAGCUGUUCUCCACGGUGAAGUACAAGGUGACCUUGACAGUCACGAAUGCCCUGGGCAGAAACGCCACCACAAUCACCUUUGACGAGUUCGCCAUAGUAAAGCCGGACCCUCCAGAGAACGUGGUGGCCAAGCCAGUAUCCAACAACCCCCGGAGGCUCGAAGUGAGGUGGCAGAACCCUUCCUCUUGGCCUGACCCCGAGUCCUUCCCGCUCAAAUUCUUCUUGAGGUAUCGCCCCCUCAUCCUUGACCAAUGGCAACAUGUGGAGCUGUCGGACGGGACGUCCCACACCAUCACCGAUGCCUACGCCGGCAAGGAGUACAUCAUCCAGGUGGCCGCCAAGGACAACGACAUCGGCACGUGGAGCGACUGGAGCGUCGCUGUGCACGCCACGCCCUGGACGGAGGAGCCCAAGCACCUCACCACAGAAGCCCAGGUGGCAGGCUGUUCCUUUCCCUCGCUCCAGAGACGACGACCACCGGCACCUCCUCCUUCGUGCCACCCCCCACCACCAAGAUCUGCGACCUGGAGGCCGUCGUUGGCAGCGGGGCCGUGACUGUGUCCUGGGCAGAGGGAUUGGUACUGGCAGCAGUUGGCGUUCUGUUUAUUUAAUCCCCUCCUCGCAGCCCCGCGGAGGAGACCACCGCCCCAUCUGAAUCUAUCUUCUCUUCUAUUUUGCACAUGUUAAGGCGGACGUAUCACAUUUCUCUUCAUCGCUUCACUUUGUAGAAGGACAGACCUGCCGCGCCGCGAGGGUUUCCCCGCCCGCUCCCCGAACUGCCAGGGGGACCGCGGAGCCUUUACAAAAAGAGAGAGAGACUACCCCCCUCCCCUGAUGCCCCCCCCAAACAGCGAGACGCGAACCCCGGCCGCGCUGCAGCGCAGCGCCCAGAGGAGAGCGCCAGCCGUCCCGGGCGAGAGAUCGGAUCAUACAGCUAAACCGCCAUGCCAAAGAUGCUACGCGACUUCGCUUCGCGCCCACGGCGCUCUGCUGCCGCCGCCGCCACAACACGGGUGACGAAACGUGUCAAACACACACGGGAAGGGGGAGGGGCAUCGAACCCACAAUGAGCCUUGUAAGGGGGCGACCCCCCUCCUCGCUCCUCCCAGGGGGCUCUGAAGAACUGAACUGGCUUCCAGAAGCCCCAGGCUGGAGGGGCGCCGGGGGGGGUUACUCCCCCGGAUGCGGUUCCCCACCCCCAGCCCCCGUGUGACAGGACAUGAGCGCUGUUUUCACGAGCGCAGACUAGUGCAUUGGGGGCUUUCUUUUUUACAGGAAAAAGGAAUCUAAGAAAACAACAGCCAAACCGACCCUCCUCCCUCCACCGCCCGCCUGCCCUGGACUCCCGGCACCUUCCAAACACCCACCCGCGCCCCCCAGCCCGGGCGAAAUCAGUGAGGAGACGAUAGCUCCGGUGAAGUCUGCGACUCUCCCCUGGCCCAUCGCCUGGUUGUCUCUCUUUUUAUCACCUCCCUUCCAUUUCUACAGGGAAGCGCCUCGGUUUCUGUAUUUGUCUUAUUAUUGAAAAACAAAUAUUCAUAAUGGAACUGUAGCGACACAAACAUAUCUCCUCCCCAUGCUCGUCCGUUCCCACCCCCCGUCCUUUGUUCUCUCCUCCCCCCACGCCCGCCGCACCCCGGUCCUGUUUUGUAAGACAGCUCCCUGCCCGUUCCGAGUGCAGUAUUUAAUACCCAACGUCCCAGUAUUCCAAAAGUUAACAUACUGUAUUUGAAUUUUUUAUAGAUGUAUAUAUAAAAAAACAAACAAAAAAAUACACACACACACCCCCAAAAACACCCAACAACAAAAAAUAAAGCGACCCAGGAGAGAGGUUGUUCAUUAAACGUGAUCAUUUCGUGAUGA